rfam:Pristionchus pacificus strain PS312 contig4826, whole genome shotgun sequence.
UCUUCACUCCGCGUGCUCUCUCACCGGUCAGAGAGGCGAGAGAGCACGAGAAAUGAAGAGA